GUCGGCUACGCAUCGUCGCCUUGGUAGGCCAUUACCCCACCAACUAGCUAAUGCGCCGCAGGCCCAUCCAUCAGUGACAGAUUGCUCCGUCUUUCCUCCUCUCCCCAUGCAGGGAAAGGAUGUAUCCGGUAUUAGCUACCGUUUCCGGUAGUUUCUGSCUCAGGAYGAACGCUGGCGGCGUGCCUAAUACAUGCAAGUCGAGCGGGGUUAUUUUAGAAGCUUGCUUUUAAAAYAACCUAGCGGCGGACGGGUGAGUAACACGUAGGCAACCUGCCCCUCAGACUGGGAUAACUACCGGAAACGGUAGCUAAUACCGGAUACAUCCUUUCCCUGCAUGGGGAGAGGAGGAAAGACGGAGCAAUCUGUCACUGAUGGAUGGGCCUGCGGCGCAUUAGCUAGUUGGUGGGGUAAUGGCCUACCAAGGCGACGAUGCGUAGCCGACCUGAGAGGGUGAUCGGCCACACUGGGACUGAGACACGGCCCAGACUCCUACGGGAGGCAGCAGUAGGGAAUCUUCCGCAAUGGGCGAAAGCCUGACGGAGCAACGCCGCGUGAGUGAUGAAGGUUUUCGGAUCGUAAAGCUCUGUUGCCAGGGAAGAACGUCUUGUAGAGUAACUGCUACAAGAG
rnacentral:rRNA from 1 species